rnacentral:rRNA from 1 species
AAGGGUAAUGAAAUCAGCUACCGGCGAGUGACCGCUUGCGCUCAUGUUUGCAAGCUGGCUCCUUCGCCGUCCGCUUUGUAAUUUCAAGAGGAUGCUUUUCCUCCGCUUAUUGAUAUGCAGCCCUGGAACGGGCCGUCAUAGAGGGUGAGAAUCCCGUGUGGGAUGGGGUGCCCGCGACCAUGUGAAGCUCCUUCGACGAGUCGAGUUGUUUGGGAAUGCAGCUCUAAAUGGGUGGUAAAUUUCAUCUAAAGCUAAAUAUUGGCCGGAGACCGAUAGCGCACAAGUAGAGUGAUCGAAAGAUGAAAAGCACUUUGAAAAGAGAGUUAAAAAGCACGUGAAAUUGUUGAAAGGGAAGCGCUUGCGACCAGACUCGCCCGCGGGGUUCAGCCGGUAUUCGUACCGGUGUACUUCCCCGUGGGCGGGCCAGCGUCGGUUUGGGCGGCCGGUCAAAGGCCCUCGGAAUGUAACGCCUCUCGGGGCGUCUUAUAGCCGAGGGUGCCAUGCGGCCAGCCCGGACCGAGGAACGCGCUUCGGCACGGACGCUGGCAUAAUGGUCGUAAGCGACCCGUCUUGAAACACGGACC